GCCAGACUGAAGACCGCGGCUCGUCAUUCAUACUUUCAGGUCCCACACUCGCUGUGGUCGUCCUUUCUUUCGUGACUGGGUUAAGGUCCGAGUCUUUCAAUCCCCUCAGGAACGUGUUUCUUGGCCUUCCUUAAACUCUCAAGGGGUUUGCUCUUGUAAACAUUCGAGCAGGGCUCAUCAUCAGAAAUCACUCUCCUCUCGAGUUGUCUGACUGGAUCGAUCGUGUUGGAACGGCUUCAUAUGGAUUGUCAUGCUACUCUUGACCGGACUCGUAGAUCAAACAGAUCGGUCCGAAGACAUCGAGCCGCCUCGACGAGGACCUUUCGCUCCUACAAGUUUCCCGGUCGAUUUGUUGCAACAUACUAGUUGACUGCCCGUUCUGGCUACGAUCCUCCAGUCAGCUCCACGAGGCGAGAUUGGGAACGAUGGGUGGGGAUAGCGAGGGCUGUCUGUUGGCCGACAGCCUUCGAUUUAGUGCAAUCCGCGGUGAGCGAGUUACUGCUCGCUCAACUCAAUUCGGACUACUCUUGGUCUGGC
rnacentral:RNase_P_RNA from 2 species